GACGAACGCUGGCGGCGUGCCUAAUACAUGCAAGUCGAACGCUGAAGGAGGAGCUUGCUUCUCUGGAUGAGUUGCGAACGGGUGAGUAACGCGUAGGUAACCUGCCUGGUAGCGGGGGAUAACUAUUGGAAACGAUAGCUAAUACCGCAUAAGAGUAGAUGUUGCAUGACAUUUGCUUAAAAGGUGCAAUCGCAUCACUACCAGAUGGACCUGCGUUGUAUUAGCUAGUUGGUGAGGUAACGGCUCACCAAGGCGACGAUACAUAGCCGACCUGAGAGGGUGAUCGGCCACACUGGGACUGAGACACGGCCCAGACUCCUACGGGAGGCAGCAGUAGGGAAUCUUCGGCAAUGGACGGAAGUCUGACCGAGCAACGCCGCGUGAGUGAAGAAGGUUUUCGGAUCGUAAAGCUCUGUUGUAAGAGAAGAACGAGUGUGAGAGUGGAAAGUUCACACUGUGACGGUAUCUUACCAGAAAGGGACGGCUAACUACGUG
rnacentral:rRNA from 1 species